AGUGAACGCUGGCGGUAGGCCUAACACAUGCAAUUCGAACGGCAGCACAGUAAGAGCUUGCUCUUACGGGUGGCGAGUGGCGGACGGGUGAGGAAUACAUCGGAAUCUACUUUUUCGUGGGGGAUAACGUAGGGAAACUUACGCUAAUACCGCAUACGACCUACGGUUGAAAGCAGGGGAUCUUCGGACCUUGCGCGAUUGAAUGAGCCGAUGUCGGAUUAGCUAGUUGGCGGGGUAAAGGCCCACCAAGGCGACGAUCCGUAGCUGGUCUGAGAGGAUGAUCAGCCACACUGGAACUGAGACACGGUCCAGACUCCUACGGGAGGCAGCAGUGGGGAAUAUUGGACAAUGGGCGCAAGCCUGAUCCAGCCAGACCGCGUGGGUGAAGAAGGCAUUCGGGUUGUAAAGCCCUUUUGUUGGGAAAGAAAAGCAGCAGGUUAAUACCCCGCUGUUCUGACGGUACCCAAAGAAUAAGCACCGGCUAACUUCGUG
rnacentral:rRNA from 1 species